UUAAAGUUUUGCUCUGGCUUAACUUAUUGUAGUAUUUCUAUUAGACAUAUGCUAGGUUUACCCAACCAAUAAUAAUAUGUGUUUGCUAAAAGCUAUUAAUUAAAGUUAUAUUAGAUAAUUUCAAUUAUAUCUUUAAAAUUUUUAUAAGCAAUGUUAAAUAUUAAAACAAUAGAGUAAUCUAGUAAAAGAAACAGAAUAAAAUGGGUGGAAAAAAUUGUGCCAGCAUCCGCGGUUAUACAAUUAACCAAAUUACAAUAUUUAGGUAUAAUGGUAAAAUAAUUUUUUGAAAGAAUAAACUUUAUUAUAAAGUAUAAUAUUAAUAAACUUUCCAAUCUUUCAUAUUUUAACUCCAUGAAAGUUAAAUUUAGAACUAGGAUUAGAUACCCUACUACUAUUAACUGUAAAUAAACCUACCAGGGUAUUAAAAGAAACCUUAAAACCUAAAGAGCUUGGCGGCUUUUUUAUUGACCAGGGGAGCUUGUCUCAUAAACGAUAAUCCGCGAUAAAUUCUUACCUUUUGUUUGUUAAAUCAGUUUGUAUACCCCCGUCCUAGUUAAUCUUUAAGAGUAUUAGCUCAGAAAUUUAUUUUUCAUUAAGUCAGGUCAAGGUGCAACUAAUACAAAGGAGUAGAUGAGCUACAUUAAAAUUAAUAAAUAGAUAUUUUUAUGAAAAUAAAAAUUGAAAUAGUACUUGGAAGUAAUUUUUCCUUUAAAAUAGAAAGAUGAACUAAUACAAUAAAAGUGCACAAAUCGCCCGUCGAUCCCCCCCUGAGAGGGGAAAAGUCGUAACAAAGUAGGCGUACUUGAAAGUGUGUCU
rnacentral:ncRNA from 1 species